AUUGAACGCUGGCGGCAGGCCUAACACAUGCAAGUCGAGCGGAGCGGGGGACGUGUGCGGGAUGCCUAGGUAUCUGCCUGGUAGUGGUGGAUAACGUCCGGAAACGGGAGCUGAUACCGAAUCCUAUCGGAUGAGCAUAGGUCGGAUUAGCCAGUAGGUGGUGGAAAGGCCUACCCAGGCGACGAUCCGUAACUGGUCUGAGAGGAUGAACAGUCACACUGGAACUGAGACACGGUCCAGACUCCUACGGGAGGCAGCAGUGGGGAAUAUUGGACAAUGGGCGCAAGCCUGAUGCAGCCAUGCCGCGUGGAUGAAGAAGGUCUUCGGAUUGUAAAGCACUUGAAGCGGGGAGGCGUUACUAGCAGAAGAAGCACCGGCUAACUCCGUGCCAGCAGCCGCGGUAAUAC
rnacentral:rRNA from 1 species